UACGGAGGGGGCUAGCGUUGUUCGGAAUUACUGGGCGUAAAGCGCGCGUAGGCGGCUUUGUAAGUUAGAGGUGAAAGCCCGAAGCUCAACUUCGGAAUUGCCUUUAAGACUGCAUCGCUAGAAUCAUGGAGAGGUGAGUGGAAUUCCGAGUGUAGAGGUGAAAUUCGUAGAUAUUCGGAAGAACACCAGUGGCGAAGGCGGCGAUCUGGGUAGAUACUGACGCUGAGGUGCGAAAGCGUGGGGAGCAAACAGG
rnacentral:rRNA from 1 species